UACGUAGGGACCAAGCGUUGUUCGGAUUUACUGGGCGUAAAGGGCGCGUAGGCGGCUUGUCAAGUCACUUGUGAAAUCUCUGGGCUUAACCCAGAACGGCCAAGUGAAACUGACAUGCUAGAGUGCAGAAGGGGCAAUCGGAAUUCUUGGUGUAGCGGUGAAAUGCGUAGAUAUCAAGAGGAACACCUGAGGUGAAGACGGGUUGCUGGGCUGACACUGACGCUGAUGCGCGAAAGCCAGGGGAGCAAACGGG
rnacentral:rRNA from 2 species